GGGUCUCAGACCCCAGGGUUUGGACCUGAACCCAGGGUUUAGACCCAAGGGCUUGGACCUGAACCCAAGGGUUUAGACCCCAGGGCUUAGACCUGAACCCCGGGUUAAGACCUGAACCCAGGGUUUAGACCAAAGGGCUUAGAACUGAACCCCAGGUUUAGACCUGAAUCCAGGGUUUAGAUCCCAGGGCUUAGACCUGAACCCCAGGUUAAGACCUGAACCCAGGGUAUAGACCUGAACCCAGGGUUUAGACCCCAGGGUUAAGACCUGAACCCCAGGGUUAGGACCCCAGGGUUUAGACCUGAACCCCAGGGUUUAGACCUGAAGAUCAAGAUCUAGAAACACAAAUGUUGAACGUGUUGAAAACCGAUUCAGCCAUUAUUCAAAGAAGAAAAAAAACUCAACAAAUCUGUGCCUAAAUGAUUUAUAUUUGUUUAUAGAAUACACGGUGGUUGUAUAUUUAAGGUAUUCUGUAAAUAUAAUAUAUAAAUAUUAUAAAUAUAUUUAUCUGGAUAAUUUGGUUAUCAGGACAGUGUUUCCAUGGCUCAGACGUGCUGGGGAUGUUAAUGCCGGUUUUCUUUUGUAUCGUGUACUAAUAUGCUGUCAUGUAUCGAGUCCUCGAACUGUAUAUACUUUUUCCAUCAAAUGGCUUAAAAUGCAAUGCCGCGCCCACCCC
ensembl:lncRNA